rnacentral:lncRNA from 1 species
CAUUCUGGUGCACAGACACCCUCAGACUCAAGAUCCUGAGACACUGCUGCAGGCUUACACUGGCACACACUCUCAGACACAUCCUGAUGCCCAUGGUCCCCCGAUUCACACCCAUAGGGACAGAUUAUCAGAGCCUGGGUAUAAAGAGAUACACUCAAUUACAAACCUCCUCUGCCCUCCAAACCUGAAUGACCAGAGGUCCACUCUACCAGCAGAAGCAGCAAUCCUUUCUAAUUGCUCUCCCCGUCCCGUGAAGCAGCCCUCUGAAAUGGCCUCAGGAAAGGACUGCUCAGUCCCUCCUUUCCAAGGGGCCUAGCGGGAGCCCCUCCAUCUCACUAACCUAUUUCUUCAUCGGAGCGAUGACAGCAGGAACCCUCUGUUUUGGAUGGUUAAGAGCAAGAGCAUGGCGGCGGUCGGAGUUAGGUGUUGGUUCUGCAAUCAUGAGGAGACCACAGGAGAGCAGCAAGGCACCCAAGCUGAUAUCCUCGAGGGCGGAGACAGUGACUGAAUUAGACUGAAUUCUGCUGCCUGGGCCCCGCCCCCACGCCCUGUCCUGGAAGACAGAGUUUGGACUUUAUUCGAAUCUGGAGUUUCAACAGCCUGCAGUGAUGGCCGGAAGGAUGAAGGCAACUUGCCACUGUCCCAUGAGCUCUUUCUGGAUUCCCCCCUCCCCGGGGCUUCAACAUACUUAGUCCCUCAACAGAUAUUUGCAAGACUGUGCAGUAUCUCCAUGGUAAAGAGCCU